rnacentral:lncRNA from 1 species
CCCGAAGAGAUUCAUUCAUAGCUAUCUGAGAGCCUUUGAAAUUAUUAUAUCUUUAAAGCAUACAUAUACAUAGAUGAAAAAAUAAUGAAAUUCAUGCUUCAUAAUCAUGCUAUUUUCAUAAGACAUAUUCAUGAAAUCAAUGCUCAUAAUAAAACAUACUUUUUCAUAUCACAUAUGCCGAUCCUUAUUUUAUGAAAAAUUAUGAUUUCAU